rfam:Triticum urartu cultivar G1812 contig1235977, whole genome shotgun sequence.
UGUGUACUCCCUCCGUUCCAAAAUACUUGACUUCCAUUUGUCCAAAAAUGGAUGUACCUAUAUACUAAGACAUGUCUAGAUACAUACAUAUAUUGACAAAUAGAAGGCAUGUAUUGUGCAAUGGAGGGAGUAGAAU